rnacentral:tRNA from 1 species
GGGCUCGUGGCGAAAUUGGCAGACGCGCCAGACUUAGGAUCUGGUUCCGCAAGGAGUGGGGGUUCAAGUCCCCCCGAGCCCA